AAGCAGGGUCACCCCUAAGGGUUCAAUUACAGAUUCACAAAACAAAGGAGAGAACACAGAAGUGAAAACUCUUGUUCACAUUCUUCAGCUGCUCUUCAAACUUUUUUGUUUCCCCUCCUUGAGCGAGGAUCAGCCUCACUCACACUCCGUGAUAAGUUCACAAACAUGACACCUCAAGCACAGAAGCAGCUCCAGCAGCUGCAAAUGCAGCCUUGGGCAGCACUGUGAUGCACCAGUCAGCUAUGGACUGAGGCCUCAGAACACCUGUCCCCCUCAUCCGUCGAGCCCUCCCCGCUUCCUACCGCAACAGCUGCUGAACAAGCCUCCAGACCAGCACUAGAGAUCAUUCUGGUGGGCUGCACUGACCACACAGCUUGACAGCACAACUGAGCUCUCCAUUCAGCAAAGAAACAUGCUGACAGUAGCACAAAACAGACAUAAAGG